rnacentral:lncRNA from 1 species
CACCGGGAGCACCGGGAGCACCGGGCGGGCCAUGGAGCUCCCCAAGGGCAAAGCGGGAACGGCCGGGAAACUCCUGCUCUGCUCCCUGCUCGACUCCAAGGAUGAGCUGGAGGAGGUGAGAGCGGCACGGGAAAACACCGGGAUAAAACCGGGAUAACACCGGGAAAACACCGGGAAAACACCGGGAUAAAACACUGGGAUAAUACCGGGAUAGAACACCGGGAUAACACCGGGAUAGCACCGGGAUAACACCAGGAUAGAACACUGGGAUAACACCAGGAUAAAACACCGGGAAAACACCGGGAUAGAACACCAGGAUAGCACCGGGAUAAAACACCGGGAUAACACCGGGAUAGCACCGGGAUAAAAUACUGGGAUAGAACACCGGGAUAGCACACCAGGAUAGCACCGGGAUAGCACCAGGAUCCUCCCGGGAUCUGGGAAUGCUCCCGGGAGCGGCCCUUGCUGGGGAGAAUCCGGAAUGGCGCGCUGCUCCCAGCUGUUCCCAGCUGUUCCCAGCUGUUCCCAGCUGUUCCCAGCUGUUCCCAGCUGUUCCCAGCUGUUCCCAGCUGUUCCCAGCUUCCCCAGUUUCCGCAGUUCCCCCGGUCUCUCCCGGUUUUCCAGAGGCUGGAGCGCUGUGUGGGGAUCGUCACCUCGCUGACCAGCGGGCUCUCGGAGCGCGAGGCCAACGACGCCCUCAACGCCCACAUCUGCAAGGGGACCCCCCAGCACGAGGAGAUCUGCCUGGGGCUCUUCACGCUCGUCCUGACGGAGCCGGCCCAGGCGCAGAAGUGCUACCGGGACCUGGCGCUGGUGAGCCGGGACGGGAUGAACAUCGUCCUCAACAAGAUCAACCACAUCCUGAUGGAGAAGUACCUGAAGCUGCAGGACACCUGCAGGACCCAGCUGGUGUGGCUGCUCCGGGAGCUGGUGAAGAGCGGAGUGCUGGGAGCGGACGGGGUGUGCAUGACCUUCAUGAAGCAGAUCGCAGGUGGGGACGUGACUGCCAAGAACAUCUGGCUGGCAGAGAACGUUCUGGAGAUCCUGACGGAGCAGAGGGAGUGGGUGCUGAAGAGCAGCCUGCUGGUGGCCAUGGCCGUGUACACCUACCUGCGGCUGAUCGUGGAUCACCACGGCACGGCCGCGCUGCAGGCGCUGCGGCAGAAGGAGGUGGAGUUCUGCAUCUCCCUGCUCCGGGAGAGGUUCAUGGAUUGCUUCAUGAUCGGCCGGGACCUGGUGCGGCUGCUGCAGAACGUGGCGCGGAUCCCGGAGUUCGAGCAGCUCUGGAAGGACAUCCUGCACAACCCGCAGGUGCUCAGCUCCCAGUUCACAGGGGUCCUGCAGCUCCUGCAGUCCAGAACCUCCCGCAAAUUCCUGGCGUGCCGCCUCACCCCCGACAUGGAGACCAAGCUGCUCUUCAUGACCUCGCGGGUGCGCUUUGGGCAGCA